rnacentral:rRNA from 1 species
UACGUAGGGGGCAAGCGUUGUCCGGAAUCAUUGGGCGUAAAGAGCGUGUAGGCGGCCCGGUAAGUCCGCUGUGAAAGUCCAGGGCUCAACCCUGGAAUGCCGGUGGAAACUGUCGGGCUGGAGUCCGGAAGAGGCGAGUGGAAUUCCUGGUGUAGCGGUGAAAUGCGCAGAUAUCAGGAGGAACACCAAUGGCGAAGGCAGCUCGCUGGGACGGUACUGACGCUGAGACGCGAAAGCGUGGGGAGCAAACAGG